rnacentral:rRNA from 1 species
CGUACGUCUACGAGAGGUUAGUAGUACUCGCGCUAGGAUGAACGCUAGCUACAGGCUUAACACAUGCAAGUCGAGGGGCAGCAUGGAACUUAGCUUGCUAAGUUCGAUGGCGACCGGCGCACGGGUGAGUAACACGUAUCCAACCUACCGUUUACUACGGGAUAGCCUUCUGAAAAGGAGAUUAAUACCGUAUGGCAUUCUAAAGUUUCAUGACAUUAGAAUUAAAGGUUUACCGGUAAUCGAUGGGGAUGCGUUCCAUUAGAUAGUAGGCGGGGUAACGGCCCACCUAGUCAGCGAUGGAUAGGGGUUCUGAGAGGAAGGUCCCCCACAUUGGAACUGAGACACGGUCCAAACUCCUACGGGAGGCAGCAGUGAGGAAUAUUGGUCAAUGGACGAGAGUCUGAACCAGCCAAGUAAGCGUGAAGGAUGACUGCCCUAUGGGUUGUAAACUUCUUUUAUAAAGGAAUAAAGUGGUCCACGUGUGGAUUUUUGUAUGUACUUUAUGAAUAAGGAUCGGCUAACUCCGUGCCAGCAGCGGC